GACAGAGGAUGCAAGCGUUAUCCGGAAUGAUUGGGCGUAAAGCGUCUGUAGGUGGCUUUUCAAGUCCGCCGUCAAAUCCCAGGGCUCAACCCUGGACAGGCGGUGGAAACUGCCAAGCUGGAGUACGGUAGGGGCAGAGGGAAUUUCCGGUGGAGCGGUGAAAUGCGUAGAGAUCAGCAGGAACACCCGUGGCGAAGGCGGCCCCCUGGGCCGAACCUGACGCUGAGGCGCGAAGGCUAGGGGAGCGAACGGG
rnacentral:rRNA from 1 species